AACGUAGGAGACAAACGUUAUCCGGAGUUACUGGGCGUAAAGAGCGUGUAGGCGGCCAGGUAGGUCCGUUGUGAAAACUCGAGGCUCAAUCUCGAGACGCCGAUGGAAACCAUCUGGCUAGAGUCCGGAAGAGGAGAGUGGAAUUCCCGGUGUAGCGGUGAAAUGCGCAGAUAUCGGGAAGAACACCCGUGGCUAAGGCGGCUCUCUAGUACGGUACUGACGCUGAGACGCGAAAGCGUGGGGAGCGAACAGG
rnacentral:rRNA from 1 species